AAACCGUACUGCAUACCGACUCUGGUUGACUAGUAUAUAUACUCAGGCCAUAGAAUCAACCAUGUUAAAUCAACUCGGCAAAAUGCGCUCGUGACCUUGGAGGAUGAGCGGCUAAAUAGACACAGAAAAUAGCCGACAGCGACUGUUUACCAAAAACACAGGAUAGUGCUAACGCAGAUUUCUGGGGCUAUCUCUAGUCUCAGAUCUGGCGGUAUACCAUCCGACGCCUGCCCAAAGGCGAAAGCAAACGGCGGCAGUAACCCUGACUGUCAUAAUGUAGCGAAAUCCCUUGACGUUUAAUUGGCGUCGUUGCAUGAAUGGCUGAACGACUGUCGGGCUGUCUCUAACAUGGAAUCUGUGAAUUUGAAAUCUUCGUGCAGAUGCGAAGGCGUUAGCAAGGGACGAAGAGACCCUAUGCAGCUUUGCUGGGUGCUAAG